GUGCCAGCAGCCGCGGUAAUACAGAGGGUGCGAGCGUUAAUCGGAAUUACUGGGCGUAAAGCGCGCGUAGGCGGUCUUGUAAGUCGGGUGUGAAAGCCCCGGGCUCAACCUGGGAACUGCAUUCGAGACUGCAAGACUGGAGUAUUGGAGAGGGCAGCGGAAUUUCCGGUGUAGCGGUGAAAUGCGUAGAUAUCGGAAGGAACAUCAGUGGCGAAAGCGGCUGCCUGGCCAAAUACUGACGCUCAUGUGCGAAAGCGUGGGGAGCAAACAGGAUUAGAAACCCGGGUAGUCC
rnacentral:rRNA from 1 species